AUAUUGUUAAAUAAGAAAUGCAUUAUGUUCUGUUAGCCCUAAAACAAUAGCUACUCUCUUUUCUAGUUAAAACUUUAGUGUUUUUAAGCAUUUAAACAGAAAGUGCUGCACUUAUGAAACCAAACAUUUUUCUGGAGACAGUGGGGUUGCUGGGAAAAAGUUAUCUCCUUUGCAAUCAUCAAACAUCAUCUCAUUGUAAAUGCAUGAUGGGAGAAAACUCAGCCCCGUACAGAGAGUUUGAUCAGAAUUGGUUCUACAGAGGUUGGAAGGCCUGACAGCAGCCCUGACCUCAAUUACAUUGAAUUGUCUUUUUGUUGUUUUGUUUCUUUGAUAGCAGACAUUCUGAUUUGUCACAAAUCUUGGUUAAACACAGUGAUGCCAUCUCACAGAAGUCUUUGGCCAGGCUGGUCAAACACUGAAGCCAAACGAAAGAAACAGUUUGUGAAAAUAAAAGAAUUCUCAGUUAUUCAGAAACAGAAGUCUAGGAGUUAUUUUUUUACUCUAAGCUAUCUUUUAUCCCUCACAUUAAACAUGUGGUUAAAUUGUUUUUUUUAAAUCAUAUUAUAAAUUUAGCUAGGGUCCGCCCACUUCUCCCUCUUGCUAACAUGGAGACGCUGAUGCGUGCUUUUAUCCUCUGCUUGCAGAGCAUCAAGAACAUUAACAUUAUUACUGAGAGGUGUAAAGCACUUUGUAUUGUGUUCCAUAAGAAAAGUGCUAUUUUAUGGAAGUUUUCUGUAGCAUAAUUAAAAAUAAAAGUCAAUACCAGAAAUGCUUUUUCAAAAUGAAGCUCCACUCUACAGAAAAAUGUCCAUACUAUUUAACUUCAGAUUUGAUUUGAUGUGAUUACCAUGAGGGAAUGUCAGACUGUUGUGACUGUGAUACUUUAUCCAAACAUUGCUGACACUCCAGUUUUUAUGUUUGUUUGUUUUUAUAAUUGCAUUACAAAAGCUUCUUCCAUUAGGAAAACAUAUGUUUCAUUUUCAGACAGAAUUGCAGGAGUGUCUAUAUUUUAGUCCAUGAUUGUAGGUUUGCAUGGCUUUGAAAGUUACCCAGUAAACUAAUGUAUAAUGUGCAUAAUGUCCUCAGAGGGAUCCUCCACAUCAGUGACUAACCCUUCUCAGUGAACCGGGUCGCUGCAAUGGGAUCUCCAGGUGGAUUCAUCAGAAUGGAGGGGAGCAGGGAGCUUGUGGCCUGCCGUUAUCAGUUGCUGCAUCGCUCAGUGUAACGGUAGAGGUUCUAUCAAGCUGACUCUGUAAUGGUUACCACCAAAAAUAACUGUUUCUAUCCAUGACAGCAAGCUUGAAAACAUGUGAAUUUAUUUAACAGGUUGUUAUUCAAGUUGACAUUUGUGGUCAUGUUUUGUCUGUCGUCAUCUCAUUGGAUGAACGGGACCAGCUGACAAAUGACAGCCAGGUGUCAGGGUGACACACCUACUUUUUUAAGUGACGCGGGUGCGCGAAAAAGAAGGACAGCUGUUGGCAGACCAGGAGUGCGGAGGAGCAAGCGAGUCUCGUACUGUGGAUUACCUUUCUGGCUACGUUUUGGAUUACCCCAGACAUUACAAUUCCUGGCGGAGUAUUGUUUCCCAAAAGGCUCGGAUCGUUCCGGUAUGAGGAUCAGCGGCGGGCUCUUUGAUAGGUGGAACGCAUUCCAGCGAAUGAGGCGGAGCAGCCUCCCACCAAACGCGUGAGACUGGCAAACAUUUUUCUUUUCUUUUCUCAUCAGACUGCGGGAUUUGGGAUUACACUUUGGUUUUGUGAAUAUUAUGGACUUCGGGAAAUCAGUUUUUUGUACAUUGAGUGAUGAAUGUGAUGGUUAAUUGAGAAAAAGGUUCAUACACUCCUAGAAUACACGGCUGCCGUAGGACGGCGUUGCGACAUUCCCCUCAGAGAGUGGAGGGUGGUCUGUUACAACUCAGUGUGGAAUUAACAAAUAACGUGUCCUUCAUUACUGAUAACAUUAAAUGAGAUCAUAAAGGACCUAAAUCCA